rnacentral:sRNA from 1 species
CAGUGGCUCCCAGAAAGCCCAGGAUUCAAUCACUGAGAGAGUGCUUAGGCCCGAAUGCCAGCCCAAAUCGUUCUACUCACCGUGUCGGAGGCCGAGGCCGAGGCCGAGAGCGAUGAGAGUGCAGGGAAGUGGGGAAGAGGGGGUGGCCGCCAGGCUCCUCCGCUUCCCUGGGUCCACGGCGGAUCCCUCCCGCUUGUCAGGAGGCGGCCAGCGGUCGCAGGACGGGCGCUUUGGAGCCGAUCCCAGGUAGUGUGUGUCGGUCGCCUCGUCUGGAGAACUACUCCUCGACUCACGGUGAGGGAAUGGACCGGCACGGGGGUUGUAUCGCUGAGGGAAAGGAGCGGGACUCCGGACCUCCAGGAGGUAGGGAGUGAGGCCGGUAGACCGGCGCGUCUCCGGGGAGAUUCCUCCCGGGCGUUGAGUUGCCAACCUGGGACCCGAGGAAGAUCGGCGUGGUGGUGUGCUUUUUGUUGUUGUUAACCCUCCUCGGAUUUCUCGAAUUUCACACCACUGUCCAUAUGCGAUGACGUUUGUUUGCCCUUGACGCACUACUCAUGGAUGGUACUUCAGCCUCGUUAGACAGCCUGGUGAUGGAGGAUGAAGAAACCAUGUGCGUCUCAUUCAGUUCUGGACUUAGUUUCCCUUGUCUUAAGCAAGUUAUUUUUCGUAGUUCCUUAUCAAAAAGUGUACAUAAAAAUUAAGCAACUCAAAACAUGCCUCCAGGGUUGGUGUGUGAAAUAAUAAG